GAGGAGAUCAAUGGUGGCCGUUGUCUGAUGCCUUGGUCUAGAGUUUGUUUGCCUCUCGAGGUGGGAGGGCUCGGUAUUAUUAACUUGAAGUGGUUCGGCUUCGCUCUAAGAUGCAAGUGGCCUUGGUUACAUUGGGACUCUGAAGUGAGACCGUGGCAGCUGAUCCAAGAUGAAACGGAGAAGGAGGUGCAGGCCAUGUUCUCCGCGGCCUGUCACAUCAGCUUGGGUGACGGCGAGUCCGCGAGGUUCUGGACGGAUAACUGGCUCCCUGAUGGCCACAGGGCCUGGAUCAGCGACAUAUUUGGAGGUUUGUCUCUCAUGGCCAUGGGCCAAUACCUGAGGGUCUGGGAUCUUAUUCAAGACACUUCAUUAACCAGGGGAAUGAGGGAUCGACCGAUUUGGAAAUUGACACAUGACCUGCAGUUUUCGGUGAAGAGUGCAUAUCAGAUGUUCUUCUUAGGGAACACUCGGUUUGCUUGUUAUAAGCCAAUCUGGAAAUCCAAAGCGCCGCCACGCUGCAAGUUUUUUAUGUGGCUUGCUGUUCAUAGAAGGUGUCUGACGGCUGAUAAUUUAGAAAGAAGGAACUGGCCAUCCAACGGAGUUUGCCCCCUGUGUUCCUCUGAACCUGAAACUUGCUCGCACUUAUUUGUUCACUGCAAUUUCAGUAUUCAGGUUUGGGCGAGGUUCAGGGAUUGGGCACGAGCUGAUUUUCAGACUCCUGAUCUCAACUUCAGCACCACGGAAGACUGGUGGUUG
rnacentral:rRNA from 1 species